CCUGGCUCGGUUUUUCUCUGUAAGAGCUUUGUUAUUUGUCUUUUAUUAAACAUUUUUUCGUUUCCAACCCUACCUCAGGAGCCAUCCUGCUGAUUUGGUGCUGUUUGGGGUAGCUGGGUAUCUCGGGUGUGAAAGCAGUGGAAUUUUGAGUGUAGGAAGGGGAGUUCUCACAUAGUGUAGGGCAAGUUUGGGAAAUCUUUCUCAUAUGGAAAUGAAGGCUUGGCUUUGAUCAGGUCGGCAAAGAACUCAAGAAAUUAGAAAUUCUGGGUCUCAGAAGAGGAGAUUAGUGACAAUUCUGGAGAAAUAAUUGUAGAUCUGUGGUUCUUCUGUAGGCUCUUUCCACAAAUUGGAAAAACCCUUUCCCUCCCUCCAGUGGGGAAAAAAAAAAACCCAAACUCUCUCAUUUUUGGAACAGAAAAUCACCAGUCUGGGGGUACAGGAAUUGGAACCUACAAGCUCAGUGCAUUGCUCAGAGCCGAGUCCUUCAGAGGAAAAACCAGCAACAGAAUUCUGCAUCUGUCCCUUCCCCAACUUCAUAUUCUGUGGAAAUGCUUAACCUGGUUGCUCACAAAAAUAUUUUUUUACAAUUUUUGCCAUUUUUAAGUGUCUUGCUGAAGGUUUGAGCCUCAGCAUUUGGUGUGGGAGUGGCACAGCUCGCACACAACGUCCUGGCGGUGGCAGCAGCGUUUUGUGCCCGCUCACCUGUCCCAGGUGUGUUUUCCUCACCAGGCCUCAGCUGGGCAGUGCUGCUCCCUCAGCUUGGGAAGAAUUUUCCAGAAGGCUUCUCCAGCACCAACCUGGCCCGUUCUGCAGCUGGCAGGGGCUGGGAGCUCUUCCCAAGCUCCAUUUUUGGGCAGUGCUGGUUCGGUGCCCAGUUCUCCUCUCGAAGGCUCAGAGUCAGCUCCUGGCCCCGAGUUUGUUCUGGCAAUUAAAGCACCUCUGUUUUCCUGGCAGGAAAAGUUCUUUCUUUUUAGCAGAGUUUAGUUCAGACACCUCAGUGCUGCAUCUCGUGUCCUUUGGGAGUGAUCCUUUAAUUUCCAUUUUUGUUACAGCCUGCAGUGUGUCACUGAAUGCAGGAAAUGUGGAGCACCUGGCUGGACACCCUCAGCUUCAAAACAGCACAAUCUUCAAGAAACAUCUCCAAACCCAGAUUUCUCCCUCCCCACAAAACCUCUCUGGAAUAUUAUGCAGCUUUGUGUUGAUCCCUUUUAAAAAAUCCUGAGGUUUGGCUUCUUUUCACUCACACAGUUUCACUCGACAGCACGGCUUUGCUGCCCUAGGUUUUUAAUGCUCAUUUUCAAAGGGGAAAAAAAAACAAAAAUAAAAAGAUAAUUGAAAAAGAAACUCCUUUCCCC
rnacentral:lncRNA from 1 species